rnacentral:misc_RNA from 1 species
GAUGAAGAACGCAGCGAAAUGCGAUAAGUAAUGUGAAUUGCAGAAUUUAGUGAAUCAUCGAAUCUUUGAACGCACAUUGCGCCCGCCAGUAUUCUGGCGGGCAUGCCUGUUCGAGCGUCAUUUCAACCAUCAAGCCCCAGGCUUGUGUUGGGGACCUGCGGCUGCCGCAGGCCCUGAAAACCAGUGGCGGGCUCGCUGUCACACCGGGCGUAGUAGAUUUUAUCUCGCUCAGGGCGUGCUGCGGGUUCCGGCCGUUAAAAAGCCUUUUUUACCCAAGGUUGACCUCGGAUCAGGUAGGAAUACCCGCUGAACUUAAGCAUAUCAAUAAGCGGAGGA